rnacentral:rRNA from 1 species
CGAUGAACCUCCUUCGGGAGGGGAUUAGUGGCGAACGGGUGAGUAACACGUGGGCAAUCUGCCCUGCACUCUGGGACAAGCCCUGGAAACGGGGUCUAAUACCGGAUACUGAUCAUCUUGGGCAUCCUUGGUGAUCGAAAGCUCCGGCGGUGCAGGAUGAGCCCGCGGCCUAUCAGCUUGUUGGUGAGGUAAUGGCUCACCAAGGCGACGACGGGUAGCCGGCCUGAGAGGGCGACCGGCCACACUGGGACUGAGACACGGCCCAGACUCCUACGGGAGGCAGCAGUGGGGAAUAUUGCACAAUGGGCGAAAGCCUGAUGCAGCGACGCCGCGUGAGGGAUGACGGCCUUCGGGUUGUAAACCUCUUUCAGCAGGGAAGAAGCGAAAGUGACGGUACCUGCAGAAGAAGCGCCGGCUAACUACGUGCCAGCAGCCGCGGUAAUACGUAGGGCGCGAGCGUUGUCCGGAAUUAUUGGGCGUAAAGAGCUCGUAGGCGGCUUGUCGCGUCGGUUGUGAAAGCCCGGGGCUUAACCCCGGGUCUGCAGUCGAUACGGGCAGGCUAGAGUUCGGUAGGGGAGAUCGGAAUUCCUGGUGUAGCGGUGAAAUGCGCAGAUAUCAGGAGGAACACCGGUGGCGAAGGCGGAUCUCUGGGCCGAUACUGACGCUGAGGAGCGAAAGCGUGGGGAGCGAACAGGAUUAGAUACCCUGGUAGUCCACGCCGUAAACGGUGGGCACUAGGUGUGGGCGACAUUCCACGUCGUCCGUG